ensembl:lncRNA
UGUAAAGGGAUAAAUAUUAUAGUUGAGGGUUCUUUAAGUAAAUCCUUCUGUAAUGUGAUCGCGCUUCCUACUGGCUGCGCUGGUGGCGCUAUAGCGCACUGAGUUCGAAUGAUCUGCAGCAGAGCUAGAGAGAACUGCUGUGGGUGAGUCGUUUCUGUUGCAGCUCCCUGUUAAAAGUUAAAAAUAAGGGUUUCAUAUCAAAUGUAAGACGGUGUAUGUAAGGGAUUGCACACCUUGGACACUAAUUGAUUUUUAGAGUGUUUUCUGUUCAUUAAUUCUGGGUAUUUUGAUAGCUUUAUUUCUGGUUGCAUAGAUUCAGUAAUCUUUCAAUGUGCGCCAUUUUCCCAUGUGCUUUCUAAUCCAGUGAAAUCUUUUCUCGAACAGAUGGAGCUGUAUUAUAUUGUAACAUGACUCACUAUUCUCUCCUUUUCACUGCUCUGUGUGCAGGAAAAUAAAUUCAAAAAUCAUCCACAAUCUGAGUAUGUGUGUGUGCUGUUGAAGAAUGGGGCAAACCGGGCCAGAAAAACCAAAGGUCACAUUGGUGCCGUGACUCAGGACUUCAAUCAAGGUGGUCGAAGAUCAUCCCAACAUCGGACCGGCGGACCUGUCGUCAUUCUUCACUGCACAGGACCUUCAGCUAAGCUUUUAUUAGUUAUUGCUGGACUUUAUACUAAAAAGAAGAGGGAAGAGACUUUUGAAUGGACACUGUGAAGUGGUUUGAUAUUUUAUUGACUCCAGGUAUCACAGCAGUAUAAUAUAGUAUACACAUUGUUUUUCUUUUUCCAUUUAUAUACUAUUAUUACUUGAUUAUGGAAAACACAAGGUUAACUGGAUCUCGGUAUGUGGGCAGUCCGGUUAGUGUUGGUCGGGGGAGAGGUCUAUUAGUGACACCAAUUCCUUUCCCAGAUAUCAGCUCUAGCUCUAAUAUGAGUGCUGCUAACAAUGGUAUGGGGUUAGAAGCAAAUACAUUUCUUGAGCCAAAUGCUAAUGAAAACCCUGUUAAUGUGAACUGCAGUUCUGAAACUACCCAGCCAAUUAGUACAUCAACUCCAGUCCUUACCAUAGGCCUUCAACUGGCAGAUAGUAUCCUUGCACAUUUGAAUUUGCACAGUCAAUCAGAAGUUGCACCUAAGCAUACUCUAAAAAACCACAAUAGUAGAUACACACCUGAGCAGUGCUCCAUGUCAAG